CAAACAAUCACGCAAGGACGAGGUGCAAUACCAGGUCUCCAGGAAAGGAAAGGGAAGACAGGAAAGGGAAAGAUCCCUGUGCCAAGCUCCUGUGAUAAAGAAACUGACCUGAGGUGAAGGAGGAUAAUGUCAGGACAUUCCGCAUUACCCUCUAAAUAGAGAUGGGGAGAAAAUACGAAGAAUUCUGUAAGAGACUUGAAACCCUGCUGGUAUUUCCUUAGCUUCCUGCUCCCUUCAGAGUGCCAGGGAGGUGCUGGUCUAACAGAAUCUUCAACCCUCCUUUGAGUAGCGAUGGGACACGUGGAAAGACCAGGAACUCCAAUGAUUCCUGCCACACCCUGCCAGAAAUGACUCCUGGUCAACAUAGAUGGACAGCUUAUUCCCAAGAAUAGGGACCUACUCCCACAAGCCAACAGAUGUGCCAGAACUUGGGCUGUCUGUUCUGCCAAGAGGCCCUGGAAUCACAGCCUGAAAUGCUGAGCUCUCUACUGGAGAAGACAACCAGGGUAUAGGGAGGGAGCUAAUUUAUCUGCACCAUAUGAAUGUGAAACUGGAACAUGGAUUAACAGUAGGCACAGCUGGGGGGAAGGACCAGAUGGAAAGAAGGCAGAGCCAAAAUGUAAUCAUUACUGGGUAGGAUUAUCCUCACACAAUAUAAGGUAGCUAAGGGCUGUGGGCUUACUCUGAUUCAGCAUAGAUUCCUCACUUUGCCAAACAGCAUGUUGGAGGAAGACAUCUGAAUCUCUCUUCACAGUUUUGGGCUCAUAAAUGGCAUCUGGCAAAUCCCUUCCCUGUCUACCUGUCUCCAGAGAGCAAUAUAGUAAUUGAAGAGUGUGUUUCAUAGGAAAGAGGACCAGGAUUGAUGCUGAAAUGCAAAAAGGCAAAUGACAACCAGGUUACUUCUAGAUUUCUCUGGAGAAACAGCCCAUGUACUGUGUGGGCCAGCAAUGAAGGGCAACUGACUCAUUAGAAGAGAUAGCGACCUUGCGUAAAAGUACUAGAUAUGAAGUCAGGAGAAAAGCAAAGAUCAAUUUUAUAGGUUA